GUGGUCCUAUGGCCUAGUGGUCAUGGCAUCUGCCCGGUAAGCGGAAGGUCGUGGGUUCGAUUCCCAUCCCUUGACACU
rnacentral:tRNA from 1 species